rnacentral:rRNA from 1 species
AGAGUUUGAUCCUGGCUCAGAAUGAACGCUGGCGGCGUGCCUAACACAUGCAAGUCGGAUGUGCCGCAAGGUGCAUGGCAGACGGGUGAGUAACGCGUAGGGAAUCUACCUUUUUGUGGGGAAUAACGCUCCGAAAGGAGUGGUAAUACCGCAUGAGACCGCAGACUGGGAUGUUUGUGGUGAAACCUGGGGACCGCAAGGCCUGGGGCAAGAAGAGGAUCCUGCGUCUGAUUAGCUAGUUGGCGGGGUAAUGGCCCACCAAGGCGACGAUCAGUAGCCGGCCUGAGAGGGUGAUCGGCCACACUGGAACUGAGACACGGUCCAGACUCCUACGGGAGGCAGCAGUGGGGAAUUUUGCGCAAUGGACGAGAGUCUGACGCAGCAACGCCGCGUGGGUGAUGAAGGUCUUC